GUCAUCUCUGGGACAUCCGAUAAUAUUGGAACGAUACAGAGAAGAUUAGCAUGGCCCCUGCGCAAAGGAUAAUAUGCACAAAUCAAGAAAUAAUCCAAAUUAAA
rnacentral:snRNA from 1 species